UACGUAGGGUGCAAGCGUUGUCCGGAAUUAUUGGGCGUAAAGAGCUCGUAGGCGGUUAGUCGCGUCUGCUGUGAAAACUCGGGGCUCAACCCCGAACUUGCAGUGGGUACGGGCAGACUAGAGUGUGGUAGGGGAGACUGGAAUUCCUGGUGUAGCGGUGAAAUGCGCAGAUAUCAGGAGGAACACCGAUGGCGAAGGCAGGUCUCUGGGCCACUACUGACGCUGAGAAGCGAAAGCAUGGGGAGCGAACAGG
rnacentral:rRNA from 1 species